rnacentral:rRNA from 1 species
UACGUAGGGUGCGAGCGUUAAUCGGAAUUACUGGGCGUAAAGCGUGCGCAGGCGGUUCGCUAAGACAGGUGUGAAAUCCCCGUGCUUAACCUGGGAAUGGCGCUUGUGACUGGCGGGCUGGAGUACGGCAGAGGGAGGUGGAAUUCCACGUGUAGAAGUGAAAUGCGUAGAGAUGUGGAGGAACAACGAUGGCGAAGGCAGUCUCCUGGGCCAGUACUGACGCUCAUGCACGAAAGCGUGGGGAGCAAACAGG